rnacentral:misc_RNA from 1 species
ACUCAGACAUCACUGAUAAAAGAGUUGGGGUCCUCUGGCGGGCGCGGUCAGCCGGGGCCGACGCCUUGCGGACGGCCCGCCAAAGCAACAAAGGUAAAUAGACACAGGGUGUAUGAUAUCUCCCUUCGCGAUCCGCCGUCAGCUCUCGCCGCCGACAGAGCGUUCCGGUUACAUUAAUGAUCCUUCCGCAGGUUCACCUACGGAAACCUUGUUACGACUUUUACUUCCUCUAAUGACCAAGA